rnacentral:lncRNA from 1 species
GUGUGAUGCUGGAAUAGGGAAGGCUUCCAUGAGGAAGGAAUAGAGCAUCUACCAUAACAUGAUUAGUGCAGCAGUCCAGGUCUCUCUUUGCUGGUCUUGGAUCAUUUUCUUUACUGGGUCACAGGAUGGAUAGAUGAUAGGAGAGAGACAGAGAGAGAGAGAGGAAGGCAGAGGCGGGGAAGGGAGAUGGUGAGACACACAGAGAGAGACAGACAGAGAGAGACACACACAGAGACAGAGAAAGAGAAGACAGAGAGACAGAGAGAGACAGAGAGGGGCGGGAGAGGGGGGGAGAAAGAGAGGGGGAGAGAGGAAAAAAGAGAGAGAGAGAGAGAGACAGAGAGGGAGAAAGAGAGAGACAGAGAGAGAGAGGAAGAGAGAGAGAGAGAGGGAGAGAGAGAGAGAGAAGAUGGUAUUUAGAGAGAGAAAAGAUAGAGAGAAAGAGGAGAGGGGACAGAAAGAGUAAGAGACAGAGACAGAGACAGAGAAAGAGAGAGAGAGAGACAGAGAGAGACACACACAGAGACAGAGAGAAAGAGAAGAGAGAGAGAGAGAGGGAGAGAAGGAGGGGGGAGAGAGAGAAAGAGAGAGGGGGAGAAAGAAAGGAAGAGAGAGGAAGAAAGAGAGAGAGAGAGAGGGAGAGAGACAUAGAGAGACACAGAGAGAGACACACACAGAGACAGAGAGAAAGAGAAGAGACAGAGAGACAGAGAAAGAAAGAGAGAGGGAGAGAAGGAGAGACGGGGGGGAGAGAGAGGGGGGAGAAAGAAAGGAAGAGAGAGAGGAAGAAAGAGAACGAGAGAGAGGGAGAGAGACAGAGAGAGACACAGAGAGAGACACACACAGAGACAGAGAGAAAGAGAAGAGACAGAGAGACAGAGAAAGAAAGAGAGAGGGAGAGAAGGAGAGAGAGAGAGGGAGAGAGAGGGGGGAAAAAGAAAGGAAGAAAGAGGAAGAAAGAGAGAGAGAGAGAGAGGGAGAGGGAGAGGGGGGAGGAGAGAAGUGUAUUGAUAGAGAUCUAUUCUUCUCUCUUUUUGUAUGCUCUCCUAUUAAUAGAAACU